GUGCCUCAGACAUGCAAGUCGAACGCGAAAUCCCGAGCAAUCGGGAAAGUAGAGUGGCGCACGGGUGAGUAACACGUGGGUAACCUGCCUCUGAGAUUGGGAUAACCCGUCGAAAGACGGGCUAAUACCGAAUAAGACCACGGUUUCCGUGGAGACUGCGGUCAAAGGUAGCCUCUACAUGUAAGCUAUCACUUAGAGAUGGGCCCCGCGCACCAUUAGCUUGUUGGUGGGGUAACGGCCUACCAAGGCAAAGAUGGUUAGCUGGUCUGAGAGGAUGAUCAGCCACACUGGAACUGAGACACGGUCCAGACUCCUACGGGAGGCAGCAGUGGGAAUAUUGCGCAAUGGGCGAAAGCCUGACGCAGCAACGCCGCGUGAGUGAUGAAGGCCUUCGGGUCGUAAAGCUCUGUCGGAGGGAACGAAUGCUCUCGGGGUUAACAGCCCCGGGAAGUGACGGUACCCUCAAAGGAAGCACCGGCUAACUCUGUGCCAGCAGCCGCGGUAA
rnacentral:rRNA from 1 species